CUCAUCUCCACCUGCUGCCCCGCCCACCUGUGCUGCCCCGCCUCCAUCCCAGGUGGACUCUUUCUUCCUGGUUCAGUCAGUGAUGUGUGCUGCAGCUGCGUUGACUCGGUGAAGGCUGGAAGAAGGUGUGUGGGAGCUGAUCCUGUGGAUCCAGUCAAUCCAGCAGCAUGGAUCAGUGGGAGGAGACACAGGAGGGAGCCCCUCCCUCUAAAAGCACUCUGUGUGGGGAAGAUGAGAGCCAGAGCAAAGCUCAGAGGAACCAACCUGGACUUGGAUCUGGAUCCAGCUGUGUGUCCUUCAGGAGUGACGAGUCAAAGGAUUUAUCUCUUGUUUUUAAUUACAGCAGUCCAGGAGU